UAAACCCUCAUUAUCCCGGCGUCCAA
rnacentral:misc_RNA from 1 species